GCUAAGGAAGCUGUCUGGAUGAAGAAGUUCAUCUCUGAGUUAGGAGUAGUUCCUGAGAUUGCUGGACCAGUCGCAGUUUAUUGUGAUAACACUGGAGCUGUUGCUCAAGCGAAGGAACUGAUGAGAGCACAAAAGUGCAAUCUACACAUCACUCAAAUUAGUAUUAUUGCUAACAAAUGAUGAUAGAAGUGCUGUAUUUUAUAUUUUUGUGGGGUGUAGGUGAUCGUAAAUUAAAGUUAAAAUACGCAUUGGGUCCAAAAAGAUGCAUCACCAUAUGUGACCAGCCAACCGUAUGGGUCAACCCCAGUUGCAUACUAGAAGGAGGUUAAGUUCAGCCUUUCAGGUUCACUGCAGCCAAUUCAAAGCAGCCUGUGCACCCGUUUGUGAUUCUCCCACUUCAUCCCAAGCGUCCGCGUGCAGCCCAUCAUU
rnacentral:lncRNA from 1 species